UACGGAUGGACAGAAAGAGAGACAGAUAGAUCAUUUUAAUUGUUUUUAUCCAAAGCAAACCACAUCAUGUGACAGCGAGCAGGAAGUACCUGGGUGUCUUUAAGAGUUUCACUGUCUCAUACAGAGUUCAGAACAUCGAAAGACUCAAAAAAGAACUGAUCUGAUUUAACAUGGACAGAUGCUUUCUGCUUAUUGUUAUUAUGGGAAUAGGUUUGGUGUCUGGGAACAGUAUUGAGCCAGAUAAAGAGAAAAAUGUUAUCAAAAAAGAAAGAGAAACUGUCAAGCUGAGCUGCUCAUUUAGUACAAGCAGUAAUGACAUUCGGCUUUACUGGUACAGACAGAAUCUACAUGGAGAACUUUUGUUUUUAGCAUAUAAAGGUGCUCGAUCAUUGAGUGCUAAACGCACCUCUGAUGAUCGGUUUCAGUCGACUACAUCAGAUACAUCCACUGAACUCACUAUCACUAAUGUAACUCUGACAGAUUCAGCUCUCUAUUAUUGUGCUCUAAGAGUCGGAGCCCAGUGAUACAAAACAUGAGACACGUCAUACAAAAACCUGAAGCUCAUUUCAAUUUGAAAAUAUCUCGUGAAAACCAUAAUCAAAACCACAAUCUAUUCAGCCCUUAAUGUAAUAACAUAUGUGGUAACACCUGUGUG